rnacentral:rRNA from 1 species
AUGGCGAGAUCACGAGACACCAGGCUCAGGCUCACGCUCCUCCUCGUCGCCCUUCUUCUGCUAGUGGACAUGGCAAGCGUCAGCCAUGGCCGACGGACACCCGACGUGGAUGCCAUGGCCCUCGUCGGCGGCGGUCCACCACCGGCGAAGGCCUACUCCUCCGAGCAGGCGUCUUUGUCGACCGCAAGGCAGCAUACGGCUCGUGUUUAUCGGCGCAUGCACACGGUGUCCAAGAGGUUGGUGCCCCAGGGGCCGAACCCACUGCACAACUGA